rnacentral:rRNA from 1 species
UACGGGGGGGGCAAGCGUUGUUCGGAAUUACUGGGCGUAAAGGGCUCGUAGGUGGCCAACUAAGUCAGACGUGAAAUCCCUCGGCUUAACCGGGGAACUGCGUCUGAUACUGGAUGGCUUGAGUUUGGGAGAGGGACGCGGAAUUCCAGGUGUAGCGGUGAAAUGCGUAGAUAUCUGGAGGAACACCGGUGGCGAAGGCGGCUCACUGGCCCGGUACUGACGCUGAGGUGCGAAAGCGUGGGGAGCAAACAGG